AUGAUAUUAAAGAAGAUGGCAUUGUUCCACUUCGUUAUGUUAAGUUUCAGAAUGUUAACAGUGUAACUAUAUUUGUUCAGUCGAAUCAAGGUGAAGAGGAAACAACAAGAAUUUCAUAUUUUACUUUUAUUGGUACUCCAGUCCAGGCAACAAAUAUGAAUGACUUCAAACGACACCUGUCUGCUCUCACCCUUCCCAUGUUCUCGCCAUUGUUGGUGCAAGAUUUCUACAGCUUCUAUCAUCUGGAUCAGCCUUGUUACCUAGAAAAUACACAUUGGCAAGUUGAGAGUUAUCAACCUGUGAAACAGUAGUUGGCAAAAAAGGAGAAAGCCACUAAGGUACAAAAGACACUGGACAACCAUAUUGCAAUCAGAUCUACAGCUCCUGGAUAAUUGCUUGAUUCUCGCCAGAGACUGUCAAUGUUUCAUUCAUUGCCAUUACCAAUAAAUCAUUGCUUUUGUUCAGA
rnacentral:lncRNA from 10 species